AUGCUGUUGCAAUAGUAGUCCUGCUCAGCACAAGAGGAACCGCAGGUUCAGACCCCUGGUGCGUGUGCUUGGCUGAGGAGCCACUGGCGCGAGGCUACCAUCUGUGGUACCUUAUGACUGAAUGCCUCGAAGUCAGAAUUCCACCUACAUGUAGUGAUUAUUAAACAAACAAACAAAUUACAGAUAUGAUCUUAGAGGUCUUUUCCAGCCUAUGAUUCUAAGUAAGUUCCCUUGCUGUAGAGCCUUUCUGACUUGAGUAUUAUGUGGCUAUGAACUAAACACAGAACAUGAAAGAAACCUGAAAAGACCUAGUUUCUUUUUGUCAGUGGGAAAAUUUAUUGUUAAGGAUAUUUUUUUUGGUUUGGGUUUCCUAGAUCUCUAAUUCU
rnacentral:ncRNA from 1 species